rnacentral:rRNA from 1 species
GACGAACGCUGGCGGCGUGCUUAACACAUGCAAGUCGAACGGAAAGGCCCCUUUGGGGGUACUCGCGUGGCGAACGGGUGCGUAACACGUGAGUAACCUGCCCUUGCCUUCGGGAUAACUUCAGGAAACUGGGGCUAAUACCGGAUAGGAAUCCUUGCUUCAUGGAGGGGGUUGGAAAGCUUCGGCGGUUUUGGAUGGACUCGCGGCUUAUCAGCUUGUUGGUGGGGUAGUGGCUUACCAAGGCUUUGUCGGGUAGCCGGCCUGAGAGGGCGACCGGCCACAUUGGGACUGAGAGACGGCCCAGACUCCUACGGGGGGCAGCAGGGGGGAAAAUUGCAAAAGGGGCGGGAGCCUGGUGCAGCAACGCCGCGGGCGGGAUGACGGCCUUCGGGUUGUAAACCGCGUUCAGCAGGGGCGAAGCUUGUGGUGACGGUACCUGCAGAAGAAGCACCGGCUAACUACGUG